rnacentral:rRNA from 1 species
CACGAAGUUAGCCGGUGCUUAUUCUUUGGGUACCGUCAGAACAGCUGGGUAUUAGCCCGCUGCUUUUCUUUCCCAACAAAAGGGCUUUACAACCCGAAGGCCUUCUUCACCCACGCGGUAUGGCUGGAUCAGGCUUGCGCCCAUUGUCCAAUAUUCCCCACUGCUGCCUCCCGUAGGAGUCUGGACCGUGUCUCAGUUCCAGUGUGGCUGAUCAUCCUCUCAGACCAGCUACGGAUCGUCGCCUUGGUGGGCCUUUACCCCGCCAACUAGCUAAUCCGACAUCGGCUCAUUCAAUCGCGCAAGGCCCGAAGGUCCCCUGCUUUCACCCGAAGGUCGUAUGCGGUAUUAGCGUAAGUUUCCCUACGUUAUCCCCCACGAAAAAGUAGAUUCCGAUGUAUUCCUCACCCGUCCGCCACUCGCCACCCAUAAGAGCAAGCUCUUACUGUGCUGCCGUUCGACUUGCAUGUGUUAGGCCUACCGCCAGCGUUCACUCUGAGCCAGGAUCAAACUCU